rnacentral:rRNA from 1 species
AGAGUUUGAUCAUGGCUCAGAACGAACGCUGGCGGCAGGCUUAACACAUGCAAGUCGAGCGGGCCCUUCGGGGUCAGCGGCGGACGGGUUAGUAACGCGUGGGAACGUGCCCUUUUCUGCGGAAUAGCUUCGGGAAACUGAAGGUAAUACCGCAUACGCCCUUUGGGGGAAAGAUUUAUCGGAGAAGGAUCGGCCCGCGUCUGAUUAGGUAGUUGGUGGGGUAAUGGCCCACCAAGCCGACGAUCAGUAGCUGGUUUGAGAGGAUGAUCAGCAACACUGGGACUGAGACACGGCCCAGACUCCUACGGGAGGCAGCAGUGGGGAAUCUUAGACAAUGGGCGCAAGCCUGAUCUAGCCAUGCCGCGUGGAUGAUGAAGGCCUUAGGGUCGUAAAGUCCUUUCGCUGGGGAAGAUAAUGACGGUACCCAGUAAAGAAACCCCGGCUAGCUCCGUGCCAGCAGCCGCGGUAAUACGGAGGGGGUUAGCGUUGUUCGGAAUUACUGGGCGUAAAGCGCGCGUAGGCGGAUCAGAAAGUUGGGGGUGAAAUCCCGGGGCUCAACCCCGGAAUUGCCUUCAAAACUCCUGGUCUUGAGUUCGAGAGAGGUGAGUGGAAUUCCGAGUGUAGAGGUGAAAUUCGUAGAUAUUCGGAGGAACACCAGUGGCGAAGGC